AUUGAACGCUGGCGGCAGGCCUAACACAUGCAAGUCGAACGAGUGGCGGACGGGUGAGUCAUGUCUGGGAAACUGCCUGAUGGAGGGGGAUAACUACUGGAACCGGUAGCUAAUCCCGCAUACCCUCCGAUGUGCCCCGAUGGGAUUCGCUAGUAGGUGGGGUAACGGCUCACCUAGGCGACGCUCCCUAGCUGGUCUGAGAGGAUGACCAGCCACACUGGAACUGAGACACGGUCCAGACUCCUACGGGAGGCAGCAGUGGGGAAUAUUGCACAAUGGGCGCAAGCCUGAUGCAGCCAUGCCGCGUGUAUGAAGAAGGCCUUCGGGUUGUAAAGUACUUUCAGCGGGGAGGCGUUACCCGCAGAAGAAGCACCGGCUAACUCCGUGCCAGCAGCCGCGGUAAUUC
rnacentral:rRNA from 1 species